rnacentral:misc_RNA from 1 species
CUUCAAAGCAGCCAUUGUUGCACUGUACCAAAACUUCCCAAACAACAACAGAUCCAAUUCCACAUUUUAUCAAAUCCUCAAUACUCUCGUCUUCUUCGAAAUCUGUGAAUAAACUCGCAGAAACAAUUAAUCCAUUGCCUUCUUCGUUCAGUAGAAGAGAAACCCUAAGUGCUUGCGGAUUGGGUUUUUCGGCGGUUUUGUUCGAGGCUCUUUUGCAGCCACAGUCGAAUAUUGAAGCAAUUGCUGAAGAAGCUGCAGCUACGGAAUGUGAAUUCACAGUAACACCUUCAGGUCUUGCUUAUUGUGAUAAAGCUGUAGGUUAUGGACCUGAAGCUGUUAAAGGACAAUUGAUCAAGGCACAUUAUGUAGGUAAACUGGAAAAUGGGAAGGUCUUCGAUAGCAGCUAUAAUCGUGGAAAGCCUCUUACAUUUCGCGUUGGUGUUGGCGAGGUUAUUAAAGGUUGGGAUCAGGGAAUUCUAGGAGGUGAUGGUUUUCCUCCAAUGCUAACUGGAGGAAAGCGUAAACUGAAGAUUCCUCCAGAACUUGGAUAUGGGAUAAGAGGAGCUGGCUGCAGAGGAGGUACGUGCAUUAUUCCUCCAGACUCAGUUCUACUGUUUGAUGUGGAGUUCGUUGGCAAGGCGUAGGUCUCAGCUAUAGAGGUAUAGUUUCUAGCUACUCAUAAAAUGAUCGAUCAAAGGGCAAAGUUUUUGUAAGCUUAAUACUUUUAGAGAUUUUUGCAGUACAUACCGUGACCUGCUUGUAUAUUUUUGG